CUUUAAUAGCGCCCGUGUGUCACUAUAUAAACACUACUGUGUCUUUAAAACAGUAUUUGAUUCUAUUCUCCGGUUGGAAUUUAUUCACUCAGGGCUUUCAAAAUCGACGGGAAAUGGCAACUUUACUGGAACAGUUACUGGUAUUCGUGAUUGUCCUGAUGUGCCUGGUAUUCAUAUUUUCACCUGUCGCUGCACAGGACGACAGGUACAGAUGGACUGCCGAUGACUUUAACAGGAACGGGAAUAACAAUUGGUUCUGGGGUAAUUAGCCGGACCAAAGUCACUUCCAACAACUCUCCGUUUUCUGACUUCAUUUAUCCUGCAUCGCAAUGUCACGGGGGACUUUUCUGAUAUUAUAGAUCUUAGAAAAUUCUUAUAUUACGACCUAUGACACCAACAGAAACUGAAAUAUGGCGUUAUUCUAUAACUGUAACACUGUUCUGAAUUGGUGUAUUGUAUACAUGUACUAAUAGCACUAGAAAUGUGUUUCAAACGUCUUUCUGCUGGAUUCAUAUAUUCUACAAGGCAAAUAAAGCAACUUUCUUGCUCUG